rnacentral:lncRNA from 1 species
UUCGGUAGAAAUCUCUCAAAAAAUUCUGUCAAAUUCGUCACAACCCAAGGGAGGCGGAAGAUAAUCCACAAAAAGACCUAAUUUCGACUUAAAUAGCCCCUAGAAGGUGGGGUCCACUAAUACAAUAAAAAUACCCACUAAAAACUGUGUCUAAUAUCAUCAUGUGGCUGUAAAACGUGCUGGAAUUAGUUGAAGAAGUCGUGACCAGCCAAUAAUGUCACAAUCAGUCCGCUGGUCUGAUUUCCUGCUUAAUCUUGCCCAAGGCUAAGAGCCUAACAGCUUGUAUUUGUGUUCCAAAAUUCCAGCAGCUCCUUCCUUGCUCCAAAACAUUUCAAUUGUGCUCCUUUUUGCUUCAUUCAUAUCAAACCCAACUUUUCCUA